GCAUAUCAAUAAGCGGAGGAAAAGAAACCAACAGGGAUUGCCCCAGUAACGGCGAGUGAAGCGGCAAGAGCUCAAAUUUGAAAGCUGGCCCCCUCGGGGUCCGCAUUGUAAUUUGCAGAGGAUGCUUCGGGAGCGGUCCCCAUCUAAGUACCCUGGAACGGGUCGUCAUAGAGGGUGAGAAUCCCGUAUGGGAUGGGGUGUCCGCGCCCGUGUGAAGCUCCUUCGACGAGUCGAGUUGUUUGGGAAUGCAGCUCUAAAUGGGUGGUAAAUUUCAUCUAAAGCUAAAUAUUGGCCGGAGACCGAUAGCGCACAAGUAGAGUGAUCGAAAGAUGAAAAGCACUUUGAAAAGAGAGUUAAAAAGCACGUGAAAUUGUUGAAAGGGAAGCGCUUGCGACCAGACUCGCCCACGGGGUUCAGCCGGCAUUCGUGCCGGUGUACUUCCCCGCGGGCGGGCCAGCGUCGGUUUGGGCGGCCGGUCAAAGGCCCUCGGAAUGUAACGCCCCUCGGGGCGUCUUAUAGCCGAGGGUGCCAUGCGGCCUGCCCGGACCGAGGAACGCGCUUCGGCUCGGACGCUGGCAUAAUGGUCGUAAGCGACCCGUCUUGAAACACGGACCAAGGAGUCUAACAUCUACGCGAGUGUUCGGGUGUCAAACCCGUGCGCGCAGUGAAAGCGAACGGAGGUGGGAACCCUCACGGGUGCACCAUCGACCGAUCCUGAUGUCUUCGGAUGGAUUUGAGUAAGAGCGUAGCUGUUGGGACCCGAAAGAUGGUGAACUAUGCCUGAAUAGGGCGAAGCCAGAGGAAACUCUGGUGGAGGCUCGCAGCGGUUCUGACGUGCAAAUCGAUCGUCAAAUUUGGGUAUAGGGGGCGAAAGACUAAUCGAACCAUCUAGUAGCUGGUUCCUGCGA
rnacentral:rRNA from 1 species